rnacentral:lncRNA from 1 species
AAAAACCCCCCUGUGGUUUCGUGCAUUCUCACUUUGCUACCCUGUGGUUUAAAACGUAUCAAUUUGUCCCCCUGUGAUUUCGUUUUUAUCUUUUUGUUAUCAAUUUUAUUAUUAUUUUUUUUUAAAAUCAGUGACAAAGUUAAAAUUAAAUGAUACUAAAGUGACUAUUCGAUAAAUAUAGAUGGUUAUCUGAAGUUUUUUUGUAUAUAAUUUAACGAAAUAUUAACGAAAAAGCUUCCGAAAAGAUAAAAAUGAAACCACAGGAGGGUAAAUUAAUACGUUUUAAACCACAGGAUAGCAAAGUGAGAAUGCACGAAACCACAGAGGAGGUUUUUAAAGUUUUCCCAUUUUAAAAUAAAAAGUAUAAAAUUUAUAUAUUUUUUAGAGU